UCAGACGAUGCGUCAUGCAUAUCAAUAAGCGGAGGAAAAGAAACUAACAAGGAUUCCCUUAGUAACGGCGAGUGAAGCGGGAAGAGCUCAAAUUUGAAAUCUUCAAGGUUUUACCUUGACGAAUUGUAGUUUAAAGAAGUGUUUUCUGUUGAAGUUUUGGUAAAAGUUCUUUGGAAUAGGACAUCAUAGAGGGUGAGAAUCCCGUAUUUGACCAUUAUUUUCAGCUGUGUGAUACACUUUCAAAGAGUCGGAUUGUUUGGGAAUGCAGUCCAAAAUGGGUGGUAAAUUUCAUCUAAGGCUAAAUAUUGGCGAGAGACCGAUAGCGAACAAGUACCGUGAGGGAAAGAUGAAAAGAACUUUGAAAAGAGAGUUUAACAGUACGUGAAAUUGUCAAAAGGGAAGCGUUUGACACCUGUGUUGUUUUCUCGAAAAUCAAUUAAAAAGAGUUAGAUUUUGUUGUGUAUUGACCUUAACAGCUUGCAUUUCAAUUUUCUUGCUUUUUUUAAUGCACUUUUCGUUUAACAAGUCAACAUCAGUUUCUUUUGUUGUAAAAAGGUCAUUGGAAGGUGGCUUUCUUUUCGGAGAAAGUGUUUAUAGCCUUUGGCCUCUGCAAUCGGAGAGACUGAGGUCUGCAGCGUAGAUCCUUCGGGGUUAGAUACAUUUGUGCUAAGUUAUAGCUUUUUAUAGACAACCUGUUGACUAUGAUUAGUCUUGUAGCUUACUCGCUUAUGCUAUUUUACCUACGCUUAGGAUGUUGAGUCGUAGAGCACGCAG
rnacentral:rRNA from 1 species